rnacentral:rRNA from 1 species
UAUUAUUUUUGUGGUAAAUUUGUUGACUUGAGUAGUAAUAGUUAUUUUCUUGAAACUUAAAGAAUUUGGCGGUAUUUUAGUCUUUUCAGAGGAAUCUGUUUUUUAAUCGAUAAUCCGCGUUGGACCUUACUUGUAUUAUUUGUUUUGUAUACCUCCGUUAAUGUUGAAUAUCUUUUUAGGGAUUUUAAUUUUCUAGAAUUUAUUUUGAAGUUAUUUCAGGUCAAGGUGCAGGUUGUAUAUGAGGAAUAUAUGGAUUACAUUGUUUUUUAAUUUUAUUUGAAUUUUCUUUAUAAAACUUUUGAUGAAAUUGGAUUUGAUUGUAAUUUUUUGUAGAUUGUUAAUUUGAUUCAUAGCUCUAAAAUGUGUACACAUCGCCCGUCGCUCUCGUUUAUUUAAGAU